rfam:Mycobacterium obuense strain TC1 Mobu_contig000008, whole genome shotgun sequence.
UGCCGAAACGCCGACUAGCGUCGGCGUCCCUGGGAGGUGGUGUUCUCAGGCUGACGAUGGCAGCCAUUG